CUUCGUGGCUUGAAGAAAAGAAGCGCCAGUCUAGCGAAUUGGCAGUCGUGGGUUCGAUUCCCACCGGAG
rnacentral:tRNA from 1 species